CAGCAGCCACGGUAAUACGAAGGGGGCUAGCGUUGCUCGGAAUCACUGGGCGUAAAGGGUGCGUAGGCGGGUCUUUAAGUCAGGGGUGAAAUCCUGGAGCUCAACUCCAGAACUGCCUUUGAUACUGAAGAUCUUGAGUUCGGGAGAGGUGAGUGGAACUGCGAGUGUAGAGGUGAAAUUCGUAGAUAUUCGCAAGAACACCAGUGGCGAAGGCGGCUCACUGGCCCGAUACUGACGCUGAGGCACGAAAGCGUGGGGAGCAAGCAGGAUUAGAUACCCCGGUAGUCCCUGUCUCUUAUAU
rnacentral:rRNA from 1 species